rnacentral:rRNA from 1 species
GAGUUUGAUCUUGACUCAGGAUGAACGCUAGCGGCAGGCUUAAUACAUGCAAGUCGAACGGUAAGUGUUGUAGCAAUACGAUACGAGAGUGACGCACGGGUGCGUAACACGUAUGCAACCUACCUUGUACAGGAGUAUAGCUCGGGGAAACUCGAAUUAACGCUCCAUAAUGUAGCGGAGAGGCAUCUCUUUGCUACUAAAAACUGAGGUGGUACAAGAUGGGCAUGCGGCUGAUUAGCUAGUUGGUAGUGUAACGGACUACCAAGGCGAUGAUCAGUAGGGGACCUGAGAGGGUGAUCCCCCACACUGGCACUGAGAUACGGGCCAGACUCCUACGGGAGGCAGCAGUAGGGAAUAUUGGUCAAUGGGUGAGAGCCUGAACCAGCCAUGCCGCGUGCAGGAAGAAGGCGUUAUGCGUUGUAAAACUGCUUUUGCCAGGGGAUAAAAAUACGGGUGCGCCCGGAAUUGAAGGUACCUGGUGAAUAAGCCACGGC